AGUCUAGAGUAACAUUCUAUUAGGAGAAUGACAGUUCAUAAUAGAAACAGCAAUUAAAUAAGAAUUAUUAUUUUGCAGACACAAAGCAAUGAGGAGCAGCCUGGAGCAACACAUUUGAUCUUCAGUGGCUUUACAAAGGACCAAGUGAUGGCAGAACUAAAGCCAUAUGCCUCAAAAGAGAAAGGUACAGCAAAGCUCUUCAGAAUGCUAUUCAAUAUAGAAGAGAUUAAAGGCCGCUCAUUGUUUGGUAUGAGGAAACGGAACAGAGAGAGUCUGACGCCAGACCUUCUCGUGCAGACAAGGCAAAACUUAAGUUCUUGGAAGAUUGUGCCCUCGAAAAGUU